UACGUAGGGUGCGAGCGUUAAUCGGAAUUACUGGGCGUAAAGCGUGCGCAGGCGGUUUGUUAAGUCAGAUGUGAAAGCCCCGGGCUCAACCUGGGAACUGCGUUUGAUACUGGCAAGCUAGAGUGUGUCAGAGGAUGGUGGAAUUCCCGGUGUAGCGGUGAAAUGCGUAGAGAUCGGGAGGAACAUCAGUGGCGAAGGCGGCCAUCUGGGACAACACUGACGCUGAAGCACGAAAGCGUGGGGAGCAAACAGG
rnacentral:rRNA from 1 species